GGUUAAGCGACUAAGCGUACACGGUGGAUGCCCUGGCAGUCAGAGGCGAUGAAGGACGUGCUAAUCUGCGAUAAGCGUCGGUAAGGUGAUAUGAACCGUUAUAACCGGCGAUUUCCGAAUGGGGAAACCCAGUGUGUUUCGACACACUAUCAUUAACUGAAUCCAUAGGUUAAUGAGGCGAACCGGGGGAACUGAAACAUCUAAGUACCCCGAGGAAAAGAAAUCAACCGAGAUUCCCCCAGUAGCGGCGAGCGAACGGGGAGCAGCCCAGAGCCUGAAUCAGUGUGUGUGUUAGUGGAAGCGUCUGGAAAGGCGUGCGAUACAGGGUGACAGCCCCGUACACAAAAAUGCACAUGCUGUGAGCUCGAUGAGUAGGGCGGGACACGUGGUAUCCUGUCUGAAUAUGGGGGGACCAUCCUCCAAGGCUAAAUACUCCUGACUGACCGAUAGUGAACCAGUACCGUGAGGGAAAGGCGAAAAGAACCCCGGCGAGGGGAGUGAAAAAGAACCUGAAACCGUGUACGUACAAGCAGUGGGAGCACGCUUAGGCGUGUGACUGCGUACCUUUUGUAUAAUGGGUCAGCGACUUAUAUUCUGUAGCAAGGUUAACCGAAUAGGGGAGCCGAAGGGAAACCGAGUCUUAACUGGGCGUUAAGUUGCAGGGUAUAGACCCGAAACCCGGUGAUCUAGCCAUGGGCAGGUUGAAGGUUGGGUAACACUAACUGGAGGACCGAACCGACUAAUGUUGAAAAAUUAGCGGAUGACUUGUGGCUGGGGGUGAAAGGCCAAUCAAACCGGGAGAUAGCUGGUUCUCCCCGAAAGCUAUUUAGGUAGCGCCUCGUGAAUUCAUCUCCGGGGGUAG
rnacentral:rRNA from 1 species